UACGUAGGGUGCGAGCGUUUGUCCGGAAUUAUUGGGCGUAAAGAGCUCGUAGGCGGCUUGUCGCGUCGGAUGUGAAAGCCCGGGGCUUAACUCCGGGUCUGCAUUCGAUACGGGCAGGCUAGAGUUCGGUAGGGGAGAUCGGAAUUCCUGGUGUAGCGGUGAAAUGCGCAGAUAUCAGGAGGAACACCGGUGGCGAAGGCGGAUCUCUGGGCCGAUACUGACGCUGAGGCGCGACAGCGUGGGGAGCAAACAGG
rnacentral:rRNA from 1 species